rnacentral:lncRNA from 1 species
CAAGCAGAUAAAAGACAAAACAAAGAUGUUUACUCUGACUUCAAAAUCUAUUCUGGCAUACUGAUUUUUUUCCAAGAAUUUGAUUCUGCUUUUUUAAAAAGAUAAGUACUGAAGGCUUUUCCCUCCCUAAGUAAAAUACUGAGCUUUCUGCACAGGAAAAAAAAAAAAAAAAAAAAAAAAAAAGACCUGAAGCAUUUUAAGAAAGUUUCUAUUAUCUCUCUUUAUUCAGCCUCCUUCCCCUCCUGUGGCCUUGCCUGCUAUUUAGAAACAAACAGCCUUCUGGUUUCCACAGGUACCUGCUGCAGUGUGCUCUACACCAUAGCCUACGCUGCAACUCCUCCCUUAGUUUCUUUUAUUGGCAUUUUUCUUUUUACAUGCUGUCUUCUACAAGUUUAUUGAAUUACAUUCACUGAUGAACAUAUUCUUCUUCCAUUUACUUACUUAGUUCCUUUCUUUUUAAACCAUUAUUCUAACUUUACUAAAGUUUCAAAUGAGAAAAGGUAAAUUGUUUUUGUCACUUCUCCCUCCUAAACCUCUCAUGAACCAUUAUUAAAAAGUAACUAAAAACUUUACUCCAUUCAAUCUGUUUCUCUACCAGUAGUCACCCUGCCCAAGCAAGGCGUAAUCUCCUGCAGAUAGGAAUUUCAUUACGGGCACCUAUGAAUGAGGAGGGCAUGAGGGAGCAGUGGUGUGCUUGCAAUGCUGUUGACAUUGCAACUUGCGAUGCUAUUGGUGUGUUUUAGGCCACAAAUUCCACAAAAAAUUAACCUUAGAUUUUCUUUCUUUUUCAUAACUGUAUAUAGCUUUACUAAAUCAAGAACACACAAUAAUUAAUUUAAAAAAAUACAUGCACUUCUAAAGCAGUGGUUCAAGAUUUUUUGAUCUUUCAAAAAUUUCAAUUAAAAACUAACAUAUUCAUACCUAAAAUAUUAUAUUUUUUAUUUAUAAUUCAUAAUAAGAAUAGCAAAUUUCAAAGAAAAUUAGGAUCUUACAAAAUAAAUGGGAACACUUUUUGUAUAAAAACAUAUACAACUUUUAUUACUUUGAAUAAAGACACUAUUUUGGUGGAACAAAAUUUUGAGUGUAUAUAUAUGUAUAUAGUGAAUGUGCACAUAUAAUUUAACAUAUAUACACACCAUAUAUUUAUACUUAAUUUUUUACAUUUUAUGUGUUAUGCAGUAGAGGUGUUUAAUGUUUUCUUUUCUUUUUAGGGCCACACCUGUGGCAUAUGGAAGAUCCCAGGCUUGGGGCUGAAUCAGAACUGCAGAUACCAGACUACACCACAGCCAUAGCAACAGGGAUCCAAACCACAUUUGUGACCCACACCGCCUCUCAGGCAAUGCCAGAUCCUUAACCCACUGAGUAAGGCCAGGGAUCAAACCCACACUUCAUGGAUACUGGUCAGGUUUGUAACUUGCUAAGCCACAACAGGAACUCCUAACCUGGGAGAUAUUAAGAAUGACUCAUGUAAACAAAACCUGUGUGUGGAUGCAAAGUAUGACACUUUUAACAUUAAUACCGUAAAAUUUAAUUCAACAUAAGAGCAAAUUAUGCAGUACACUGAUUAGCUUUUUUUAGCAAGUCUUUGAAAAUGUGCUAUGUACUAUAUGAUCACUUUAGAAUAAAAUAUGAGUAUUUUGAAAUAUCAUUAUGUGUUAUUGAAAAUAGUAAGAAAAAACAACAUUUUAACACCUCAUUUGCAUUGGUGCAUCUUUGAUGACUUCAUUAAAAAUGUGUUAAUUGAACAGAAUGUAUAUUCAUUGAAAAAGUUCACUUCAUUCUUGCAUAUAUGAUUCAUCUGAAUUUAAAGAAACAACUAAGUUAUAUUUGUUGCUUAAAUGAUAAAGUGGAAAUUAGCUAACAUUUUUUCUGAAUGCUACCUUGAAAGCAUGGACUAUUAUGAUUUUAACAAGUAAUUAAUUUUAACUUUUUAUUAUUUACUGGGAAGAUAUAUAUUUUCAGUGACACCUAAACAUAUAAAUAAAAAACUUAUUAUUAGCCUUUAUGUAAUAGUAAGUAGGGCAUUAUAAAGACUCUGUAACACCAUUUAUAGCUGGUAAAUUUUGGACUCCAUUUAAGAAGACUGCAUUACAAAUAUCUGUAGCACAGCUUAUUCAAAGGCUAGUUUCACCUAGGAAGAAAUCAUGUAACAGUCAACAUACAGCAAUUUAGCAAAGAAAAAUGGAAAGUAAUUUUUUGAAGUAGAGAAACUGCACUUUUAUAUUUUUAAUAGUGCAAUUUUGUGGAAUUUUUCUACAUAGAUUCUUUCAAAACAAUUUUCAAACAAAAGCAAUGUUUCUCAUUUUAACUUAAAAACAUCUGUGCCUACAAACAAAACAUCUCUUUGGAUUUGUUUUGUUUUCUACAUUCACCCUCUUCACAAGAGUUUAUUAUAAGGCUUAAGAACAACUUACACUUGCAACUCUCAAAUGUUGUCUUCAGCCUACACUUCUUCCAUGAACUUUGGAACACAAAUCUAAUUUUAUACUUAAUACCUCCCCUUGGAUGCCCAACAAGCAACUAAAGCUAAAAAUUUUGAAUUUGCUCUAUUCAGCGCCUUUCUUGUCUCAAUUAUUGUCAAUUAUUGUCAAUCUCCUUCUUUUGAUUGCUUAAGUCAAAAACAUCCUUGAUAUUUAUAUUUCUCUUAGACCAUUUGAUACAUCAGAAAAUUAUUUUACUUCUACAACUUGCCACCAUUUCUAUUUUUCUGUCACCCUGGUCCAAACUACUGUCAUCUACAGACUCUACUACUAUCAUCUGCUUCUGCUCUUGUCCCCUGUAGAUUAUUGAAUACAGUCAGAGUUCUUCUAUGAUGUUGUGAAUUAUAUCAUAUCAUCCUCUCAAAACAACUAAAUUGCAAACUGCAUCAAACCAAUUGCCUCUAGUGUAAAUAGUUUACCUUUCUGACCUCAUUUCCUUCUACUCUUUUAUUACUUUACUCCAGUCACCCCCUUGUUUCUCUCAUUCAUAUAAAAAGUGUCUUCAUCUUAGGACUUCGCAUUUUCUUUUUUCUCUCAUGAAAUAUUUUUCCUCCAGAUCUCUAAAUGUCUAGCUGCGUGAACCCCAUCCUGUUUUGCUUUCUUUUUUUUUCUAAAAUGACAUCUCCUAGGUGAUUUCCUCCAUGAACUCCUUGACUCCUGUUCUGCUUUGUUUAUCAUCUCUUUCAAUUCAUUAGAUUGUUAGGUUCAUGAGAAUAUAUUUUUCUCCUAUCCUUAAUGUAGCAAAGAAAGCUUGAUGUAUAGGUGUUAAAUAGUAAAUAUACCAUCGAGUGAAUUAAAAAAUGAGUUCACACUAGGAUUUAAAAUGUUAAAUGUAAAAUAGUUGAAAAAAUAUAUAAUUGGAAUAUUUAAGAUAUUGGAAUGUUCAAAAUGUAUAAUUGGAAUCACUAUGACAUUAACAUGACAACAAUAAUAAAAAAUAAAGUCAUUACUUUCAAAACAAAUAAUUUGGCCAUAUGAUGUACUGAGACUACCUGGAAGAAAUCAUUUAGAGAUUUAGAGUAAAAUUUUUUAAAAUAUCAGUCAGUUUAGCAAAAAAAGGGAUUAUCUUGAUGACAUAACCUUAAAAUACUUAUGUUUAAUCUGCCUUUAAAUUACUCUAGGAUAUUCUUGUGUCUUACGGUUGGUAACUUUGGGUGAUUAAUUUUUUUCUGACUAUGAAAUUACCAAUAGGUGAAAGAGUAUCUCUACCCAAGCAUGAAACAACCUGAUUCGCUUACCCUCAUAACUGAAUUUAAAUAAAAAAUAUUUUUGGUAAUUCUUGGUGGCUUAAGUGAGAUUAAACCAAAAAAACAAAACAAAACAAACAACAACAAAAAAAACAGACUUAAUGUAAUACUCAACUGAAAGAAAUACUUCUACAGGUCUGCAGGUGGUAACCACACAUAGUUUCUAUCCUGUGAGUUAGUGGUGUAAUUAAUACGUGAAACUAUAUGAAUCUUAGUUAACCAGGGAAGGGAAAAAAGCUGUGGAUUUAAGCACACAGGUCUUAAAAAAUCACUCUAUUUCCGGUAUGAGGGUCGAUUCUCCAGAUAUUCUCAAUCUCAUUAGGAGUGGUCAAGGCUAUGACAGUAUUUUAACAGAAAGCUUAUUCUUCUAAUCAGGUUUGAGUUAACUUCUGGCCUGGGACUAAAGUCCAUGCUUUAUUUAAGCUUUCCAUCUUCUUUAGGAAUAAAGAAGAACCCUGAGCCCUUGAUGUAAUACCUGGAUCUUUAAAAGUAUGGACAUAUUCAAAAGAUCCAGCUAGGGCCCAGACACCAGGUGUAGAUUCAUUUCUCCCUUAACAUCUAUCAAGGUGAAUUCCUACCCUGAGUCUAAGACAUAAUGCCUCUAAUCAUCAUUAUUGCUAUCAGAUGCCAGAAGGGUUCUCACUGUGCAAUUAAAUCACAGCCCCCCCAAGCCCCUUGGCUCUAUUAAUACCUCAACUUUAUAACCGCUUUCUAUUUUCAAUCUGCUAUAACUAUUUUUAUUCUAUCUUUUCUCUGUUUGUAUUAUUCACCAUGAGAAAACCCUCAACUUCAGGUCAUCCUUUACUGCUACACUCUAAGCUCCAAAAAGCUCUGCGCAGCCACUAAAUAGCACUGACUGCCUUUUCAAUUCAGCUAUUGAUGGAUAUUGGGCUGUUACCAGGUUUUGAUUACUAUUAUUCCUAAUAAUGCUAGAAACACUGCUCUAAAUGUCUCUUUGUGCACACACACAUAUUUCUGUGGAGUAUAUGCCAUAUAAAAUACAAGUACAUCCAGUUAAAUCUGAGUUUUGGAUAAGCAACAAUAAUUUUUAUUAUAAAUAUGCACAGAUAUCCUAAAUUUUCUACUCUACUAUCUUGAAUUCACAGUCCACCAUUAGCAAAAUCUCUGAUGUCAUCAUUUUUUUCUGAAUUGUCCCUUUGCUUUCUCAUUUUAACAGAAACCUAUAGCUCAUCUGAAGACACUACAUUACCAGAAGCCCUUUCAAGUAGUAACUAUUUCUCUCAGAGUCCUUACACUCCCAUGACUGGAGGUGAGUAGGCAUCUUCCUUGUUCUUUAUUGUUAAUUUCAAAUCGCUCUUCUUCCUUCCUCCUUUAAAAUCCUCUAUUUUGAAGUACAUGUUAUUAGAUUAUAUCAUCCAGUAAUGUUCAUUAAUAUGCUACUAAAGCAACCUUUAGCAUACUUCUCCUAUUUCUUUAAGAAUUUAACUCUUGGUUCUUUAUGAUUUUCUCCAACAGUAAUCCCAUUUUACUGUUUAGAGAUUUCAAUAAUUAAAUGACUGAUACCUUUGAUAUCCAGGCUCCGGAAGUUCUUGAACUUGUCUCCUCUAAUAAUCCUGGCUACCCAUUCCUAUGGUCACACACUAGAUUUGGUUUUUACUACAAAUGCCAGCUCUCUUGAUUUUCAUCAUGACUUUUGGAUCAUGAUAUUUCAUAUUAUUUUUCUGGUUUCUCCUGGUUCCUUCUCUUCUCCAACACAUGAGUAUUGGGAUGCUCAGGCCUUGGUGACUUUCUUUGGCAUAGAGCCCUCUCUUUGGGAUACCACCAGUCUCAUAGCUUUAAGUAGCAUCCAUACUUUGAUUACAAUCUAUAUUUAUAUUAUUUAUAUAUUUGGCUCAGACAUCAGUUCUAAACUCUUAAAUCAUAUAUUCUCCUGAAUAGCUACAGACAUAUCAAGCUUUACAUGUUGAAAACUGAUCUCUUGAUACUCAACCAAACUUGCUCUACUUGCAGUCUUCCUCUUUAUAACUAAAAAAAAACUUCGGAGUUCCUGUCAUGGCGCAGUGGUUAACGAGUCUGACUAGGAACCAGAGGUUGCGGGUUCGAUCUCUGGCCUCGCUCAGUGGGUUGAGGAUCCGGCGUUGCUGUGGGCUGUGGUGUAGGCUGGUAGCUACAGCUCUGUUUCGACCCCUAACCUGGCGACCUCCAUAUGCC